CAGAGGUCCCAAGCGUUAGGCGGAAUCACUGGGCUUAAAGCGUGUGUAGGCGGAUUUGUAAGUACCUUGUGAAAUCCCACGGCUCAACCGUGGAACUGCUUGGUAUACUGCUUAUCUUGGGUCGUCUAGGGGCGAGCGGAACAAACGGUGGAGCGGUGAAAUGCGUAGAUAUCGUUUGGAACGCCAAUGGUGAAAACAGCUCGCUGGGGACGUACCGACGCUGAGACACGAAAGCCAGGGGAGCGAACGGGAUUAGAUACCCCGGUAGUCCUGGCUGUAAACGAUGUCGACUAGAUCGUAGUGGCUCUGACGCUAUUACGGUCGAAGCAAAAGUGCUAAGUCGACCGCCUGGGAAGUACGGUCGCAAGGCUA
rnacentral:rRNA from 1 species